AUGAGGAGGGCCAUGAACGACGCUAGAUCUAGCAUAGCAAAAGGGCAAUGUGUUCACUUUUUUUUUACCCCGCAAAAAAUAAAGUUGAUAGUUUUGGAUUGCCUAAGAGAGUUGGAUAUCCCAGUGCAACGAGUCCGUGCUGCUGUCCGGUUUAUCAGAAACUCUCCAUCUGGAAUUACCCAAUUUAAGAAGUGUGCUGUCUUGGAGAAGGUGGACAGCAAAGCAUUCUUAUCACUUGAUGUAUGCACCAGAUGGAACAUGGAACUCCACAUACCUAAUGUUGAAUCUGCGGCCACCUAUGAGAAGGUGUUUGAUAGGUAUGGCGAUGAUGAUCCUUACUUUGCAGUUGAGUUAAAUAGUGAGAAAGCACCACGAGUUCCUGAAGCUGUAGAUUGGGACUAUGCAAGGAAGAUUUCGGAGGUUCUUGAGCAUUUUUAUAACCUCACUGUUUGUGUUUCGGCCUCUAAUCAUUCAGAGGGAGUAGUACAGUACUAUAUUGUUUUUGCUUGCGUUGAACCCUCUUUUGUUUUAGAUUGA
rnacentral:rRNA from 1 species